UGAGGAAUAUUGGACAAUGGGUGAGAGCCUGAUCCAGCCAUCCCGCGUGAAGGACGACGGCCCUAUGGGUUGUAAACUUCUUUUGUAUAGGGAUAAGCCUACCCUCGUGAGGGUAGCUGAAGGUACUAUACGAAUAAGCACCGGCUAACUCCGUGCCAGCAGCCGCGGUAAUACGGAGGGUGCAAGCGUUAUCCGGAUUUAUUGGGUUUAAAGGGUCCGUAGGCGGACUCGUAAGUCAGUGGUGAAAUCUCAUAGCUUAACUAUGAAACUGCCAUUGAUACUGCGGGUCUUGAGUAAGGUAGAGGUAGCUGGAAUAAGUAGUGUAGCGGUGAAAUGCAUAGAUAUUACUUAGAACACCAAUUGCGAAGGCAGGUUACCAUGUCUUAACUGACGCUGAUGGACGAAAGCGUGGGGAGCGAACAGG
rnacentral:rRNA from 1 species